CAAAUAAAAAAGGGCUUUUGACGGAUACCUAGGUAUUUAGAGGCGAUGAAGGACGUAGUUACCGACGAUAUUCUUUGAGGAGCUGGAAACAAGCUAUGAUUCAAAGGUCUCCGAAUAGAGCAAUCUAGAAAACUUCUUUUUGAAAUCAAAUAGAAAAGAAAGAGCAAACCUGGUGAAUUGAAACAUCUUAGUAGCCAGAGGAAAAGAAAGCAACAGCGAUUUCCUUAGUAGCGGCGAGCGAAACGGAACAAGUCUAAACUUUUUCAAAUUAUAGAAAAAGGGUUGUGGGAACUU
rnacentral:rRNA from 1 species